AGUGAACGCUGGCGGUAGGCCUAACACAUGCAAGUCGAACGGCAGCACAGUAAGAGCUUGCUCUUACGGGUGGCGAGUGGCGGACGGGUGAGGAAUACAUCGGAAUCUACUUUUUCGUGGGGGAUAACGUAGGGAAACUUACGCUAAUACAGCAUACGACCUACGGGUGAAAGCAGGGGAUCUUCGGACCUUGCGCGAUUGAAUGAGCCGAUGUCGGAUUAGCUAGUUGGCGGGGUAAAGGCCCACCAAGGCGACGAUCCGUAGCUGGUCUGAGAGGAUGGUCAGCCACACGGGAACUGAGACACGGUCCAGACUCCUACGGGAGGCAGCAGUGGGGAAUAUUGGACAAUGGGGGCAAGCCUGAUCCAGCCAUACCGCGUGGGUGAAGAAGGCCUUCGGGUUGUAAAGCCCUUUUGUUGGGAAAGAAAAGCAGCAGGUUAAUACCCCGCUGUUCUGACGGUACCCAAAGAAUAAGCACCGGCUAACUUCGUG
rnacentral:rRNA from 1 species